GGGCCUAUGGUCUAACGGCAUGACACGGCAUUCGCAUUGCCGGGAUGGCGGUUCAAUUCCGCCUAGGUCCA
rnacentral:tRNA from 1 species